rnacentral:lncRNA from 1 species
CUUUAAUCUUACGUAAUCUUUAAUCGUAAGUUUUUAAUCUUACAUAAAAUUAAAUUUUUUGCAAUGAUACUUUCAGUGACGGAUUUAACAGACAGUCAAUUCGGUAUUUGUCAAUCGGGCUCUAGCUCACGCGGGCCCUUGUCAGCAUCAAUUUGGUUCUGCAUGGAUGGACAUCAUUUUGUGAUAUUGUUUAUUGAAAAAGAAAAUGACAGAAAUUUUAAAUCUCGAUUGCAUAAUCGAAUAAUUUUCCAAAAUAAGACGGGAUUUUCAACAAUAAUCUAUUUUUUGAUAUUAUAAUACUUUUAUUUUUGUUAAAAGAAAUACAGGCC